rnacentral:rRNA from 1 species
CUGGGCUAGAAAAUGCAGGAACCUGGUCGAAAGGUCGGGGUGCUCUUCGGAGAACCUGUAGUUAGGUGCUGCAUGGCUGUCGUCAGCUCGUGUCGUGAGAUGUUGGGUUAAGUCCCGCAACGAGCGCAACCCUUGUCGUUAGUUGCCAGCGGUUCGGCCGGGCACUCUAACGAGACUGCCGAUAUUAAAUCGGAGGAAGGUGGGGAUGACGUCAAGUCCUCAUGGCCCUUAUGUCCAGGGCUACACGCGUGCUACAAUGGCCGGUACAAACAGUUGCGAACUCGCGAGAGGGAGCCAAUCUGAAAAAACCGACCUCAGUACGGAUAAGAGUCUGCAACUCGACUCUUUGAAGUUGGAAUCGCUAGUAAUCCCUGAUCAGCAGGCAGGGGUGAAUA